rnacentral:sRNA from 1 species
AAAUAAACCCGGUAGAAGCGGCAGCCCACGAUUCUUCAUCGGGGGCUAUAGCGGAUAACGGGACUGCUA